GUGGCUCAGAUUGUUGUGGAGAUGAUAGGGUUGAGAAGUCAGAGUGUAGAAAUAUAUAUAUCUUAAUUAGAUCACUGGUAUUCCUUUGAUAAGCUGGUUUAAAACGUAACGUCAACCCCAGAGAUCUCCAGCUUGGUUAAAUGCGAAGUAAACAUCCAGACACAUGAUCUUCUCCAAGCACAGCCCCUGCUCUACCAGCUCCAUGGCUCCCUGCUGGCUACAAGCAGGUUCCUUAAGCUGGUAUCACAUGAUGACCCAAGAUGGGGCCAACCUACCCUUCCUGUUCCUCUCCGUCUCCUCCCAACAUUUGCCCUUAAUCCCUCUCUCUCCUCCCUCAGUCAAGUCAAUUACCCCUUCUGUGUGCUGUCUUCACAGGCACCUCCCUGUAAUAGCAAAGCCUUCUCCGGACCUGCCCCCCUCCCUACCCCAACUCUGGCUUCUCUUUACAGACAUGUUCCUUGGGCAAUGCUACUGGACAUCUCCUCUUGGAGUCCUGCGGGAACGCCAACCUCAGCAUGCCUGAAGUUCUUGCUGUUUAACCUCCCAAAGGCCCUAUCCCGGAAUGUGGCACAACCAAUACAGUCCCCAAGCUGGAAGCAUUGGAGUCACUCUUUAAAAGAUAAACGACUAUGCAAAUG